rnacentral:rRNA from 1 species
UACGUAGGUGGCAAGCGUUGUCCGGAAUUAUUGGGCGUAAAGCGCGCGCAGGCGGCUUCUUAAGUCUGAUGUGAAAUCUCGGGGCUCAACCCCGAGCGGCCAUUGGAAACUGGGAAGCUUGAGUACAGAAGAGGAGAGUGGAAUUCCACGUGUAGCGGUGAAAUGCGUAGAGAUGUGGAGGAACACCAGUGGCGAAGGCGGCUUUCUGGUCUGUAACUGACGCUGAGGCGCGAAGGCGUGGGGAGCAAACAGG